UACGUGCAUUUACGCCGCAAGCCCGGGGCACGCCGGGAAGUCGGAGGCCCGCGGUGCGCGCGCAGCUUUGGCUUCCGGGAGCAGUGUGGCUAGAGAUUCCUGCCAAAGUUGUUUCUAUUAUGUACUUCAGGCUCCCAGCCCCAAGGAAGAGACUCCCUGAGUUUCCACAGUAUAAGCAUUAAUUUGUUC